rnacentral:rRNA from 1 species
GACGAACGCUGGCGGCGUGCUUAACACAUGCAAGUCGAACGCUGAAGACCUGGCUUUUGUUGGGUUGGAUGAGUGGCGAACGGGCGAGUAACACGUGAGUAACCUGCCCUCUUCUUUGGGAUAACGCCCGGAAACGGGUGCUAAUACUGGAUAUUCACUGAUCUUCGCAUGGGGGUUGGUGGAAAGGGUUGUUCUGGUGGGGGAUGGGCUCGCGGCCUAUCAGCUUGUUGGUGGGGUGAUGGCCUACCAAGGCGUUGACGGGUAGCCGGCCUGGGAGGGUGACCGGUCACAUUGGGACUGAGAUACGGCCCAGACUCCUACGGGAGGCAGCAGUGGGGAAUAUUGCACAAUGGGCGAAAGCCUGAUGCAGCGACGCCGCGUGAGGGAUGGAGGCCUUCGGGUUGUAAACCUCUUUCGCUCAUGGUCAAGCCGCAACUGUGGGUUGUGGUGAGGGUAGUGGGUAAAGAAGCGCCGGCUAACUACGUG